AGUGAACGCUGGCGGUAGGCCUAAUACAUGCAAGUCGAGCGGCAAGUUGAGAAGCAAUUCGAGACCCAGAGCGGCGUACGGGUGCGUAACGCGUAUGCAACCUACCUCAUACAGGGGGAUAGCCCGGAGAAAUCUGGAUUAAUACCCCAUAGUACAACGCGAGGGCAUCUGAGUGUUGUUAAAGAUUCAUCGGUAUGAGAUGGGAAUGCGUCGGAUAAGCUAGUUGGCGGUGUAACGGACCACCAAGGCGACGAUCAGUAGGGGUUCUGAGAGGAAGGUCCCCCGCACUGGAACUGGGAUACGGGACAGACUCCUACGGGAGGCAGCGGUAGGGAAUAUUGGGCAAUGGUCGGAAGACUGACCCAGCCAUGCCGCGUGCAGGAAGAAGGCGUUCUGCGUUGUAAACUGCUUUUAUCUGGGAAGAAAAGGCCCAUGCGUGGGACAUUGCCGGUACCAGAUGAAUAAGCACCGGCUAACUCCGUGCCAGCAGCCGCCGUAAUAC
rnacentral:rRNA from 1 species